AUUGAACGCUGGCGGCAGGCUUAACACAUGCAAGUCGAGCGGAGAUGAGGUGCUUGCACCUUAUCUUAGCGGCGGACGGGUGAGUAAUGCUUAGGAAUCUGCCUAUUAGUGGGGGACAACAUUCCGAAAGGAAUGCUAAUACCGCAUACGCACUACGGGGGAAAGCAGGGGAUCUUCGGACCUUGCGCUAGUAGAUGAGCCUAAGUCGGAUUAGCUAGUUGGUGGGGUAAAGGCCUACCAAGGCGACGAUCUGUAGCGGGUCUGAGAGGAUGAUCCGCCACACUGGGACUGAGACACGGCCCAGACUCCUACGGGAGGCAGCAGUGAGGAAUAUUGGACAAUGGGCGGAAGCCUGAUCCAGCCAUGCCGCGUGUGUGAAGAAGGCCUUUUGGUUGUAAAGCACUUUAAGCGAGGAGGAGGCUACCUGGAUUAAUACUCUAGGAUAGUGGACGUUACUCGCAGAAUAAGCACCGGCUAACUCUGUGCCAGCAGCCGCCGUAAGAC
rnacentral:rRNA from 1 species